GACGUAGGGCGCAAGCGUUGUCCGGAUUUAUUGGGCGUAAAGAGCUCGUAGGCGGCCUGUCGCGUCGACCGUGAAACCCGCAGCGUCAACUGCGGGCUUGCGGUCGAUACGGGCAGGCUCGAGUUCGGUAGGGGAGACUGGAAGUUCCUGGUGUAGCGGUGAAAUGACGCAGAUAUCGGGAAGAACACCCGUGGCGAAGG
rnacentral:rRNA from 1 species